UACGAAGGGGGCUAGCGUUGCUCGGAAUCACUGGGCGUAAAGGGUGCGUAGGCGGGUCUUUAAGUCAGGGGUGAAAUCCUGGAGCUCAACUCCAGAACUGCCUUUGAUACUGAAGAUCUUGAGUCCGGGAGAGGUGAGUGGAACUCCGAGUGUAGAGGUGAAAUUCGUAGAUAUUCGGAAGAACACCAGUGGCGAAGGCGGCUCACUGGCCCGGUACUGACGCUUAAGAGCGAAAGCGUGGGGAGCAAACAGG
rnacentral:rRNA from 1 species